ACUUAAAAAAUACACAAAGAUUCGAGGCCGCCUUCGUAAAAGAGUUCUACGAACAACCGCCACGGUGAUCUAACCGUUUAAGAAGCUUGAAGCUAGUCGCGAUGCCGGCUACAGUAGAAGAUGAAGCGCCCAACAUCAUCAUCAAAGGCACGGUGCCAUGUGCGAAGUUGCUCUCGCAUAUUCGAAACAUCACCGACUCGACUCAACUCGUAGAGGGACCGACUGAAAUCCGUCAGUACCUCGGACUUUGGCUGAACCUCCCCUGACAAACUGACGUCAUGAGGCUCUGAAGAGGCAAUCUCCGCAUCAUGUGGGGUCCACGACAACGGCGUACAUAACGGCAUCAUCUGACCAGGGCGACUUUACCGACGACAGCUUCUAAUACAUUAAUGUGUGUUUAUUUAAUAUUCGACAUUAUUAUAUAAUCUUCAUAGAUAAUAUCCCAGAUAUAAGUGCGCACUUAUGCAUAACGAAUAUAAUAAUUUUCGCCACGUGAUUUUGGUACAAGAGACGGAGACUAUCGUACACCUAAGUGCUUCACGGUAGUAUUUGUUUACGAGGAAUAUACAUCUUCUGUUUGGGCUUGCUGUAAAGUUCACGAUCACGAAAAGUUUUGCCUUAUUGGGAAAAAGUUGGAUGCUCUAACAUCUGUACGCAAAUACCUGAGACGCAGAGUGGAUCGUCUGGAUGUGGAAAAAUUCGGGUGUUAUCACUAGUUCUCCGACUAGUGAUAAAUGGAGGCAUAGGAGUAUAUAGUAUAGUUCGAGAUAAGGGUGUAAUAGGCAGGGUUCAUGCGAACGGUAACAGAUUGAUUAUUUUUAAAAUGAAAAGUAGACAUAGACGGGAGACAGAAGGUAAUAUAUCACUAAUUGACUCCAAGAUUUCUGAACUUUUUAUACUUUUUUUAAUAACUUUUCAUACAAUAAUAAUGUAAUGAUAAAAUUUUCUAUCAUUUUGUCUCAAUAGACAAAAAGUAAUAUGAUGAUAUUAGCAAAAUUUCAAUGGAGCAUUAAAAUUGCAACUUUGAUCGACAUAGAUGCGCAUUUAUGAAACGAGUAAUAAUACAGUAUAAAUACUUUCCCCUGUGUGAAUUUGAAGGUAUUUAUCUUGAUGUUAUGGGAACGGUCACACAGGUGAAGGUUUUAAUUAAUCAAUUAUAUUAUUAGUAUAGAAUAUAGAUCCUUACGUUCUCACAGUCGAAAGAAACGGCUGAGAGUCACUUUACACCACAUUCAGAUCGGACCUAAAGAAUUGCAACAAUUGGACAUUUACGGGAAAAUUCAACACAAUAAAGAGAUUAGCAUACUUUCUCCGAUUCUUUCGAUCCGUGUUAAUGCUAUUCGCCACAUUUCAGAGGAAAUGUCUUAGGGAAGGAUUUUGGAAGUACAUUUUCAGAGAAUGGCAUUUAUACUCUUGAUUGGACUAGAUGUUGUGAUGGUGUUUUGGAUCGCGAUGUUCAGACGGCGCAAGUUUGCUGUAGUUGAGAAUGUCUGUCGGAUCAACUUUAUUAUUCAUACACGAUUGCGGUCAAGCCCUUAUAUUAACAGCUUGGAUGUUCGGAAACUGUUUUAUUGACGCCAAAUGUGACGUUAAAUUUACCGAUUGAGACGACUGACGAGACUGUCUUAUUUACUAUGGCCAAUCGAGUUGGAGUAAAUAGCAUGGCGCUUGUCUUCCCGGACUUGACGAUUAAAAACAAGUGCUUGCUCCCGUUAAUUAAGAAAACAUAUAAAUGCGAAGAUACUCACCAAAGGAAUUUUGCCAUAUUUACAAUUUAAUAUUUCUGACUUCAAGGAAAACUCGCUUAGCAAUAAUUACGACAAAUUUAUUGUCGAGAAGUAGCUGAUUCCCGAAACUCGGGAUAGUUAAACAGAUAACAUAAUUGGACGGACUAUCAUAAUUUUCGCCAGAUAUACAUUUAUACACGAUUAUUUACUGAUAUAUAUGUGUCGUAUUUUUGAGAUGUUUGUUCAUGAUUCGUGGCAGUCGCAAUGGUUAAACGGUCAUGGGCAAAUAGUGUUUUUUAUACAAAAUAAUACAAAAAUAUGCGGUAGGACGGGUACAGAGAGGGAUUCAUACGAUGACUCGACGCUGCCAAUAAUGUUUGUUGAUCGAAGCGCGGACGGCUGCGUCGGACCGUUGUAUGCCCUCAGUUCGGAUCGUAUGAACAAAGCGAAACUCAUAGACCUCUAUAAAAGCAAUAACUGUUGUGUGUAUUUUGUUCGGAUUACUUUUGUCAUUCGCAAUAUAUUAUAACAGCAACCUAGAAACUACCUCAUGGUGCUCACGGUUAGGUUUCAGGAUCUCCUCGGCCACCCGGCCAAUACACCUUUUCACGGCUAUUUGGAGGCGAUCGCAGAAACUGGACGCGCUUUAUAAAUAUAGAUUAUUUUUUUA